AACGGGUGAGUAACACGUGGGUAACCUGCCCAUCAGAAGGGGAUAACACUUGGAAACAGGUGCUAAUACCGUAUAACAAUCGAAACCGCAUGGUUUUGAUUUGAAAGGCGCUUUCGGGUGUCGCUGAUGGAUGGACCCGCGGUGCAUUAGCUAGUUGGUGAGGUAACGGCUCACCAAGGCCACGAUGCAUAGCCGACCUGAGAGGGUGAUCGGCCACAUUGGGACUGAGACACGGCCCAAACUCCUACGGGAGGCAGCAGUAGGGAAUCUUCGGCAAUGGACGAAAGUCUGACCGAGCAACGCCGCGUGAGUGAAGAAGGUUUUCGGAUCGUAAAACUCUGUUGUUAGAGAAGAACAAGGAUGAGAGUAACUGUUCAUCCCUUGACGGUAUCUAACCAGAAAGCCACGGCUAACUACGUGCCAGCAGCCGCGGUAAUACGUAGGUGGCAAGCGUUGUCCGGAUUUAUUGGGCGUAAAGCGAGCGCAGGCGGUUUCUUAAGUCUGAUGUGAAAGCCCCCGGCUCAACCGGGGAGGGUCAUUGGAAACUGGGAGACUUGAGUGCAGAAGAGGAGAGUGGAAUUCCAUGUGUAGCGGUGAAAUGCGUAGAUAUAUGGAGGAACACCAGUGGCGAAGGCGGCUCUCUGGUCUGUAACUGACGCUGAGGCUCGAAAGCGUGGGGAGCAAACAGGAUUAGAUACCCUGGUAGUCCACGCCGUAAACGAUGAGUGCUAAGUGUUGGAGGGUUUCCGCCCUUCAGUGCUGCAGCUAACGCAUUAAGCACUCCGCCUGGGGAGUACGACCGCAAGGUUGAAACUCAAAGGAAUUGACGGGGGCCCGCACAAGCGGUGGAGCAUGUGGUUUAAUUCGAAGCAACGCGAAGAACCUUACCAGGUCUUGACAUCCUUUGACCACUCUAGAGAUAGAGCUUCCCCUUCGGGGGCAAAGUGACAGGUGGUGCAUGGUUGUCGUCAGCUCGUGUCGUGAGAUGUUGGGUUAAGUCCCGCAACGAGCGCAACCCUUAUUGUUAGUUGCCAUCAUUCAGUUGGGCACUCUAGCAAGACUGCCGGUGACAAACCGGAGGAAGGUGGGGAUGACGUCAAAUCAUCAUGCCCCUUAUGACCUGGGCUACACACGUGCUACAAUGGGAAGUACAACGAGUCGCGAAGUCGCGAGGCUAAGCUAA
rnacentral:rRNA from 1 species